GACGUAGGGCGCGAGCGUUGUCCGGAUUUAUUGGGCGUAAAGAGCUCGUAGGCGGCUUGUUGCGUCGACCGUGAAAAACCCGGGGGCUCAACUUCGGGCUUGCGGUCGAUACGGGCGGGCUAGAGUUCGGUAGGGGGAGACUGGAAUUCCUGGUGUAGCGGUGAAAUGCGCAGAUAUCAGGAGGAACACCGGUGGCGAAGGCGGGACUCUGGGCCGAUACUGACGCUGAGGAGCGAAAGCGUGGGGAGCAAACAGG
rnacentral:rRNA from 1 species